rnacentral:rRNA from 1 species
AUACGUAGGGUGCAAGCGUUGUUCGGAAUUAUUGGGCGUAAAGCGCGUGUAGGCGGUUUGUUAAGUCUGAUGUGAAAGCCCGGAGCUUAACUCCGGAAGUGCAUUGGAUACUGGCAAACUAGAGGACGAGAGAGGGAAGCGGAAUUCCUGGUGUAGCGGUGAAAUGCGUAGAUAUCAGGAGGAACAUCAGUGGCGAAGGCGGCUACCUGGACCAAUACUGACGCUAAGGUGCGAAAGCGUGGGGAGCAAACAGGAUUAGAAACCCCGGUAGUCC